rnacentral:lncRNA from 1 species
GGUGUUUCAGUCCUCGACAACGGUCCAGACCGGUCGCUUGCAGCAUCUUCAUCUCUGGUAACAUCUAACGAUGACAUACUCUUUCUCCGUAACAUCCUUUUACUUUUUAUAUUGUCGUCUGGUUCAACGUCUUCGUCAAUUUUGAUAUCAGGAAGGUCUCCUAUCCGUGACAUUGUUUUUUGAACAAGAAGAUCGAUUUCGUGUUGCAUGGAUGUAAUUUACGGCUCGGGAUCUGUUUGUGUGCGGGAAUGAAGU